UACGAGGGGGGCGAGCGUUGUUCGGAUUUACUGGGCGUAAAGCGCACGUAGGCGGAUCGUUAAGUCGGGGGUGAAAUCCUGGAGCUCAACUCCAGAACUGCCUUCGAUACUGGCGAUCUUGAGUCCGGAAGAGGUGAGUGGAACUCCUAGUGUAGAGGUGGAAUUCGUAGAUAUUAGGAAGAACACCAGUGGCGAAGGCGGCUCACUGGUCCGGUACUGACGCUGAGGUGCGAAAGCGUGGGGAGCAAACAGG
rnacentral:rRNA from 1 species